rnacentral:rRNA from 1 species
CACGUAGGCACCAAGCGUUGUCCGGAUUUAUUGGGCGUAAAGAGCUCGUAGGCGGUUCAGUAAGUCGGGUGUGAAAACUUUGGGCUUAACCCAAAGCGUGCAUCCGAUACUGCUGUGACUUGAGUUCGGUAGGGGAGUGGGGGAAUUCCUAGUGUAGCGGUGAAAUGCGCAGAUAUUAGGAGGAACACCGGUGGCGAAGGCGCCACUCUGGGCCGUACCUGACACUGAGGCGCGAUAGCAUGGGGGAGCAAACAGGGAU